GAAACACAUGGGUGGAGGAAAGACCUGUGCGACUGGCUGAUUGACCCCUGCUGAAAGCCGAGGACCUUGUCCACAGACGGGAACAGUUCUCUUCAUGAAUGAAGGUCAGAGACAAGUGGGUGCUGCCAUGGUGGACAACACAAUGUCAUCUGGGAUGGCUGAACCUCUACCCCCCAGCACAUCAGCGCCACAGAUGUCUUUGCCAUCUCUUAGAUGCCCUGAUGAAGCCAACAACUGUGAGUACUAUUCAUUGCUCAGGAUAUCAGGAGGGAAGUGAUUCAGUGACAUGGGACAAUAACAAAACAGAUAAAGUGGCUCGGGAAAUGGCUAUACAAGAGCCUAUCCUGGUUACAGGCCUACAAGAAACAGCCACUGAGAACUGAGAUUAGACUAAGGGAUGGCCUCACUUAGAAUGUACAACAGAAGAAAAGGCCCAAGUUGUUUAAAAGAUAAAAGGACAAUGACACACUUGGGGAGAAAGCUAUACCCCCCCAAAGAACAAACAAAAGACUCACUUUGCCAAAUAAAAAAAUAGACUCAUUUAAGAGAUAAGAAGUUUGUCCAAAUAGUUAAAAUAUAUAUAAUAGACUUUAAGAUUUUAGCCAAGAGAGACAGUAAAAAAUAUAAGAUAUGUCAAUAAGUAAAUGCUUAACAAACAAACAGGACAAAGAGACCUAGAGAGUUUAACGAAAAGUCGAAGUGAACUUCACUGAGAUAAAACCAGAAAAUUAUGAUCACAAGUAUCUCCUAGUGCUUGUAGAUACUUUUUCAGGAAUAGAUAGAAGCUUUCCUCACCAAACGAGAGACGGCCUCUACAAUCAUCAAAAAGAUACUAGAAGAAAUCUUCCCCAGGUCUGGAAUGCCCAAGGUAAUCUGGUCUGACAGCGG
rnacentral:lncRNA from 1 species